GACAGGCCAGUUUGCUUCCGCUACCCUCGGGGUGCUCUUUCAGUGAUGGAACACUCAUUUAGUGGAAUUCCCAUUGAGGUUGGCAGAGGGAGAAUACUUACAGAGGGUAAAGAUGUUGCUUUACUUGGCUAUGGAUCCAUGGUACAAAAUUGUCUGAGAGCUCAAUCGCUUCUUUCAAAGCUUGGUGUUGAAGUGACUGUUGCUGAUGCAAGAUUCUG
rnacentral:misc_RNA from 1 species